UUUUCUAUCCUAUUAUAAAUCUUCAAGAUCUUCUUGAUCUUCUUCAUUUCCAAAAUCUGCAAAAGAAGUACCAAAGGAAAAAAAGAAAUUAUUAUUGUUAAAAGCGCCCCCUCCUUCAUGGAGGGAUAGUAAGAUUGAGCCCACCUCCAUCCUCUUCUCAAUUUCCCAAGUCGUCCUUCGUCUCGGUUCUAGUAUCGCGUUAGAUCUCUGAACUGAAGCCAGAUUGAGCUCGCCGUUUCCGGUGGGUCGUCGGCGUCGGAGUGGACGUUGGAGGGGCCAGUGUUUUGUGUGGCCGGGAGGGAGGGAGUGGGUUGGGUUCGUUAGUGGGUGACGUCGGCCCCGCAUCCCUC
rnacentral:lncRNA from 1 species